UACGUAGGGGGCUAGCGUUAUCCGGAAUUACUGGGCGUAAAGGGUGCGUAGGUGGUUUCUUAAGUCAGAGGUGAAAGGCUACGGCUCAACCGUAGUAAGCCUUUGAAACUGGGAAACUUGAGUGCAGGAGAGGAGAGUGGAAUUCCUAGUGUAGCGGUGAAAUGCGUAGAUAUUGGGAAGAACACCGGUGGCGAAGGCGGCUCUCUGGACCGUAACUGACGCUGAGGCGCGAAAGCGUGGGGAGCAAACAGG
rnacentral:rRNA from 1 species